AAAAAAAAGAAGGGAGAAAAAAGAAAAAGGAAAGAAAAAAAUAAGGAAGGGUAUUAUGGACAUUUCAUAUUUUUAUCCAUGUUACUUAUCUAGGAGAAGCUAUUUUGCCAAACAUUUUUCCAUCCAAACUAGGUGAAGCCAAAAAAAGCUGUUGCAUCGAAAAAGUCACAGCCAUAAUCGUUUUAGCCACAGCCGCAGCCUUGCCAAACGAGCCCUAAACGACUACUGGUGCAGCCCAUUUGUCUCGGUCGG
rnacentral:lncRNA from 1 species